GAGAGACACACACACAAAGACCAGAGAGUGUCUCACACUGAUGAGACACGUUACUUCAGUGUGAUUUGAACGUAAGGAAGUUUUAAAGUUCUACACAAGUGUAGCAGCUCCAGCACAAGUUAGCACCUACUCUAACUAUAGUCUCACAGGGGACAGAUGGUUGAAGUCAACAAGCACCAGGAAAACCAAGUGAGCGGCGAGUGGAGAAGAUGAGAAGAGGAAUCCACCAUCAGUGCAGGGAUGAAGCAGCACCUGCAGCAGGAGACGCCACAGAGCCUGUGUGUGUGUGUGUGUGAGUCCUCCAGCACCAAGACAGAAAAGAGGACAAGAAGCAGGUCUGCAGACGAGGUGAAGAGUGAAGGUGGAGAGACUCUGCUGUCUUAGCUGUCCUUUCAGACACAGUACUGCUCAUGACAAGUUCUAAAGGGAUCAUUGAGGUUUUAUGAAGUGCCAUUUAAUCACUUACACACACACACACUGCCAUCCUGAGCAACCAGCCUGAGACAUGGAGGCUCGCCCUCACUGAAAACAUGGCUCUUUUCAACACUGUAUUUGGGUUUUCCAAACAGGAGCAGUGACACAUAAAACUAAUGAUGGAAAUAAUUAAAAAUAAAGGUAAACAAUACAGGAUUGACCUACUUAACAAAAGGAUGAUAUAAUAAAAUCUACACCAGCAUCUACAUCUAUGAUAUCUUAAGAAUAGGUUUGCCACUUAAUCUCUUGAUCUUUUAAUAAUAUCUGACAGGAAAGUGAAGUUUGUGUUACUUUGUACACCACUCACUCACACAA